rnacentral:misc_RNA from 1 species
AGUCGUAACAAGGUUUCCGUAGGUGAACCUGCGGAAGGAUCAUUAACACAAACUGCGGUUGCGCAUGUGCACGUCGCCUCUUAACCGAGGGCCAACGAUUGCUGCUGGUGCUCCGCAUUUGGAUCCACAUCCAUUUACCCCUGUGAACUGUUAAAGUCUUUACAUAGUGAAAUUAACACCAUGUGAAUGUACUCUGACUGAACACUAGAAGCGGACGCAAGGCUCUCUGGAGCUCUGUCGACUGUCUUCGAAAAAACUAAACCAAAGACAACUUUUAACAACGGAUAUCUUGGUUCUC